GAGAGUUAAACAGUACGUGAAAUUGUUGAAAGGGAAACGAUUGAAGUCAGUCAUACCAACGGGAAAUCAACCUUUUGAGUUUGGUCUCGUGGGUUUUGAAGAGUUUAAAAGCCUUCGGAUUUUCGAGAUUGGGUUCUUCUGGUGUACUUUCUCGUACGGUUAGUCAACAUCGGUUUUGAAUGUCAUAAAAUGACUGGAGGAAUGUGGCUUCGAUCUCGUAUUGAAGUGUUAUAGCCUUUGGUAGAUGUGAUGUUCAAGACCGAGGAUUGCAACGGAUACCCUUCUGGGCUAUUCGUCUGAUCUCUGAAACGUUGCCUUGAUGUCGAAAGCUUGCUUAUGAUGUUAGGGUAUUACGAUCAAAAGGUUAGAACGGAUUAAAUUCGUUAAGGAUGUUGACGUAAUGACUUUAAACGA
rnacentral:rRNA from 1 species